rnacentral:lncRNA from 1 species
GCACCAGCACCUAAGUGUCUUGGGGAAGGAGGGUGAGCAGGCUCAAGCCCGGGGGUGGUUUGUGGGCGCGUGAGGUGGAGAAGGGGCCCAGGCUGGAUGCCAGGGGUGGGAGCAGGCUGGGGAAAGCCCCGGGCCCGACGCCGUCCGGGCCUCUGCGGUCGCCGCCACCACUGGCGCUAGCUGGGCUCCGGGAAGCUAGUCCGGAGCGGAGGAAUCUAUUGUUAUUUAUUGUGUGGCGGUUUCAUGCUGUACUCGCGCGGCCCGGCCCUCGCCCGGGAGUGCGUGUGUGUGUGCGUGUGUGUCUGUGUGUGUGUGUGUAUAUGUGAGCGCGCGCGCGUGUGUGACCAAGUGAGUGUGUUUGCGGGGGUGCGCGCGCGGGCGGGAGUGGGCGCGCUCGGGGAAAGGCCCGAAAACACCUUAGUUUGCACCGAGAGACCAUUUGCUGCGGAACCCGAAAGUUUGCAAGAGGAAGAGAGCGUGUGGCGAGCAAGCGGGCCAGGGGCAGCGGCAGCGGCGCCGGGGACCAUGGUGCUGCCGGCGCCUCCUCCGCGGGCGUGAAGGCGGCGCUCCCACUCCCUCCCGGGUCUCCGCGGGUAAGUCGAGGCGGCUGCGGCCGCGGGCGGGUGCGCAGGGUCUAGGGACACCUUAGAGCUUUGGGUUGCGCCCGGGGGUUCUCUGUGCCCAAAGCCUCAGCAUGGGCGGCGCGAGCGCAGCGAUCUGGCGCCGGAGCCAGGAAUGCGCCUGUCCUCAAGCCGGUAGGUGCUUCGAAAUAUUAGACUUUCUCCUUUUUCCCCCUUUUCUUUCCAAAAUCCGAAAAUCUAGAGAUCAAAGUUUAGCGUGGAGUAUAAAGUGCUCUGAUAAAAUAUGAUGACAUCCCUCGCUCCCCUUCUCACCCUUCUCCCGCCCCCCCCCCCUCCUUUUUAACUAUUAAUUAUUUCCAAGUCAUUGUGUCCAAAUACCCUUGCCGGGCUGAUUACAAAGUGUAUUGAUUUAGUCUGGGCUCAUCCUACGCGUUCGUUUUAAUUCCUUUUCUUUUGCUCAACCAGAAAACCCGAAAUGAAACUUAUUUGUUCCUCUGUGCACCCCCUGCCCCCAGCCUUCGAGGCUUGGACAGAAUAAUGAAAUUAAUAUAAACAUUUCAUUUGGUUGCAUUUGAGCUUUUCCAGCCCACUUAGGAGGGGCUGGUGUUGCUCUCAUGUCUGGUCACAGGUAUUUUCCAAGUUUGGAUUUCCCUUUUUGUUACUGUUCUGUAGACUGGAAUGCUGGAGGGCCGUUCUGUAUUCCCUCUGAAAGGAGUCUAUACAUUGAAACUGUCUACACUUUACCUUUAGUUGUCGUAGGCUUCAGGAUUUAGGGCUUGCACAAUAGCUGAAUUGAAAAAACCUAAGGGAUGGUUAAGAGAUUUUUCUCCUGCCGAAAAUAUAUUGAAGAAUAUCUCCAAUUUUUUACAUGUCCCUUCCCCUUGUAUUUUCCACGGUGAGAAUCAAUUUAGGGAAAUAUCUUAACUAGAAUUUGAAGAGAAAUGAUAAGAGUUCUGGUAUUUUCUACCAAGUGUUAUCCUGUAUAACAGAGACACAGAAGUUCCUGUUAUUUUCGGUUCCAGAGACAAAUGUAUCAAAUCUUUUGAGAAUUCCACUAGAGUUUUGAUUCUAUUAAGUGAAAAAUACCCAUCUCUUUGAGGCCAGGAAAUUAAAAUUGGGCUCACAGUUUCAGAGGUUGGGAAUGAGUCCUUUCUGUCUCUGACUUUCCUGCUUGAAACAUCAUAUAAUUAAAGAGUAUUAAAAAUAUAAAAAGGAACUCAACUAGUUACCAUUAAAAGGUGUUAGCUAAAAUCUUACUGCAAGGAGGGGGGGAAUGUUUAACAUCUUGUCACUAGCUGCAUCCCUCCCCCCUUUCCCCACACCCUCCUUAGACUUUGGAUUAGUCAUUGUAUGAGAGAGAGAAAAAAAAAAAAUCAGUUCUUUUUUUUUGAAAAAGUAAAGUAAACAGCCUCCAACUGCUGAACCUUGACAACCCAAAUUAAGGAAGCAGGAGAGAUCAAACAGAACUGCUGCUGGGUUGUUGUCAGGAGCUCUACAGGAAGAACCCUGGACUAUUCGAUCUAGCAGCAAAGCUGUAUAUUGACUGAUGCAGAAAUGGACUAUUGCAAAUGCUGAUCUUUGUUGUCCAAGCAAAGCCUCCCUUGGAAGGAAAUAUUCAACCCCUCUCCAGGCAGGAUCUGAGUUCCUUAUAGAUGCUGAGUAGCUAAACAAGUUAUUAUUUUUAUAAUGCAUUCUUAUUUAUGAACAAAACAUACCCAAAAGGGCAUUAAAAGGCUAUUAAGUCUUCCAGAGGCUGUCUUGUUACCCAGAACUGUGCAGUGGAAUUCUUUUUUACCAACAUUAGACUCCUACACUAGAGUUAGAUAACAUUUUCUCACAUCAAGUUUAGAAGAUCUGCCUUGUCAGGGAAGCCAAGGUUUUGUAUGUGAGGGUUUAAAUCUGAUGUGAAGCUCAAAAAAAAAAAAAAAAAAAGAAAGAAAGAAAAUCCUGGUGAUGAAGUUUUGUGUCAGCCCACUCUUGGAAUUUAAAAAGGCGAGAGGGAGCAUUCUCCAGAUUAGACAUAACCUCUUUUUUUAGAUUGACAUUCAACAUGACCACGUUGCUACUUUUAUUCAAGUUCUCUGUAACUUGUCCUUGCUUGUUGUCUAGGAAAAUUUAACUGCUUUACAUUUUUAAAGGGAGUAGUAACAGUAAUUACUUUAGCAUUUUGUUUUCACAGGUUUAUCAAAGUAUAAUGAAAGAAACAUCAACUUUUUAGAUUAACUGCCUCAAAUUAAGAGGGUUGUAUUGCUGGAGACAUCUGAAAGAUUUUGUGUUUAUAUUUAAAUCCUGGAGUAUAAACUGUGUAACACUUUUUAGGUAUAGACUAUACCCAAAUUAAAUAUCAUUUUAAUUAAGUAGAACAAAGUGGGGAAAAGGACAAAUAAGCACAUAGAGAAGGAUAAAAAUAAUUGUUGUUUAAGGAUUGCAUAUAUAAUGAACAAACGUUGAUCACAUAGUAAGCACUUUGUGUUUUUCUAAGUCAGAGUUUCAUAACCAGAGUACCCAACAUGUUUCAAAGUCUGUAGCUUUUAUUGGAUAUACCUUUUAUUGUAUCAUUAAACAAUGUGAGUUAAACAUACACAUGGAUGCUAUUAGGCAAUUUUCUGCAAUAUGUAAUGUUUUUUGAAAAGCUAUAAAUAUUUUCUAGUUAAAUCAUUUGUACCAACAGUAACAAAAGUUAACUGGGUUAAUAUUGAGCCUGGGCAUGGUUUUCUGUUACUGACUCUUUCCCUGUUUCUCUUAAGACUCUACCCCCAGCCUUGUAUAUUUGCAUUUGUAGGCUCUAUUGAAGGCUGUGUCUGUUCUCAGCAGUUGUUUAAAUUAACAGAAAAAUUGUGAUAUUUCCUCAACAAACGUAUUUAUACCACGGCAAUGCCAACAUAAAGGAAGAGAAAGGAGAAUAGAACAGAUGUGACAACUUCUUUUGAACCCAGCUUCCUCUUUGCAGCCAACCUUAUUGUGCUGUUGAUUUGGUUUUCAGGUUUUACUUAAGAUGCAAACUCAUUUUUAAAAUGUUAUCUUGUAAAGAAUCUGUAUCCCCAAAAUGUAUGUUCCAUUUAGGUAUUAUAAAGUCUUGAUUACUUUUCAGUGGGUAUGCCAAGAAUAUUUACAGGGCAUUGCAAGCGUUCUGUCUUUUAAAAAUAAUUUUAGGCACCCGUUAAUAAAAUUUAAAUAGAUUGCA